CCAAACAUUUCAACGAUUCAUGGACCAAAUAUUUCGUGAUAUGAACAAUUGCAUUGUCUACAUUGAAGACAUCUGCAUCGCAUCGCAAAAUGAAGAGGAGAAUUAUCAGCAUGUCAAGGAUGUGUUUGGCUGACUACGCAAGGACAGCUGCAAAAGCUAAUCAGAGGCAACAAAAAGAAGGACAAGACGCCAACAGUGUGGAACGCCGAAGCAGACCAGAUGUUCGUGCAGUGCAAGACCGAUUUGGCACGCGUGACAACAUUAGCGCAUACAUCCGCAAAUGCUAAACUGGUACUGCACGUCGACGCGAUUAGCUUCUGCGUGGGCGCAGCCUUGAGUGAGUUGCAAAACGGAUCCCUCAAACCGCUCGGUUUCUUCUCUAAACGGAUAUCGGAACCGCAAAAAAGCAAAGCACUUAUGGCCGUGAGUUGCUGGCGAUUUGUCUGUCCGGACGGAAUUGCAACAGCAAAGUGAGCACUCUUUCCUACAGCUAAGACAAAUCCAACUUAACGACUCAACGACAUUGUUAUACUGAGACAUUUCGUCAAAAAGAAUCCGUCCGUAUAUCACACACAGCUACCGUAAGCAAGUCUUCCAUUCCAUUCAUAACUAAUCGCACCCAGGUACUGUCUGACGUACAUUGACCUCGGCUCUCACGCUGGCCGGCGGCAGUCCCAAUAGCAGACAUAACGGCAGAGACGGAACUUACUCAGUUGACGGGAUCCAAGCAUCUGCGAAUGACAGCAUACCACCCACAAGCCAAUGGCAUUGUGGAAAGAAUGCACAGGACCCUGAAGACCGCUAUUAAAUGUCACACUGAUUCCAACUGGACCGACAGCCUUCCGAUCGUACUACUUGGCUUGCGAGCAACAUUUAAAGAAAAUCUCAACGUCUCUACAGCAGAAAUGGUUUACGGGACAACUUUAAAAC